AUUGAACGCUGGCGGCAGGCCUAACACAUGCAAGUCGAGCGGCAGCGGGAAAGUAGCUUGCUACUUUUGCCGGCGAGCGGCGGACGGGUGAGUAAUGCCUGGGAAAUUGCCCAGUCGAGGGGGAUAACAGUUGGAAACGACUGCUAAUACCGCAUACGCCCUACGGGGGAAAGCAGGGGACCUUCGGGCCUUGCGCGAUUGGAUAUGCCCAGGUGGGAUUAGCUAGUUGGUGAGGUAAUGGCUCACCAAGGCGACGAUCCCUAGCUGGUCUGAGAGGAUGAUCAGCCACACUGGGACUGAGACACGGUCCAGACUCCUACGGGAGGCAGCAGUGGGGAAUAUUGCACAGUGGGGGCAACCCUGAUGCAGCCAUGCCGCGUGUGUGAAGAAGGCCUUCGGGUUGUAAAGCACUUUCAGCGAGGAGGAAAGGUUGAUGCCUAAUACGUAUCAACUGUGACGUUACUCGCAGAAGAAGCACCGGCUAACUCCGUGCCAGCAGCCGCCGUAAGAC
rnacentral:rRNA from 1 species